UGAACAUGUCCCUCCUUCACUUCCUGCAGUUUGGAUCACUCUGGGCCACAGGAUUUCUGGUUCUGGGCUGAACUUACUUGGGAGAAGUGUGGAAGGAAGUAGAGCUGGGCCCCCUGUGUCUCCCCCAGCCGUGAGAGCUGGUUCCUGGCAACUCCCUUCCCCUCAGUGACACCUGAUCCCUGAGACACCUGGAUGCUGGAACACCUGCCUUGGAGAGCAGAGAGUGGGAGGCCGAAGAGAAUUUGGAUCAUCAGGGAACUGACUGCAGGUGGAAAAGAAGGCUCCUUGGUGCCCUCAGAAUAAGCAUAAAGUCUGGGAUAGCCCCCCAAGUCAUCACAAUGCCUGCCCAUCCAUCAUCUGGGAAACAGUCUCUCCUUUGGGACAAGCAGAGCUGAAAGGGAAUGUUACUUGGAAGGAGGCCCAGCAUCCCUACCCAUGUCUCAGGCCUCUGGGAUUCAACCUCCUGGCUCAGAGGAUGCAGCUCACAGUGGCCCAUGUGGGAUCGAACCGGCAACCUUGGUGUUAUUAGCACCACGCUCUAAACAACUGAGCUAACCAGUCACCCCUGGACCCUCUUUUGGAUUAGGUGGUCUUUCCC